rnacentral:rRNA from 1 species
UACGGGGGGGCAAGCGUUGUUCGGAAUUACUGGGCGUAAAGGGCUCGUAGGUGGCCAACUAAGUCAGACGUGAAAUCCCUCGGCUUAACCGGGGAACUGCGUCUGAUACUGGAUGGCUUGAGAUUGGGAGAGGGAUGCGGAAUUCCAGGUGUAGCGGUGAAAUGCGUAGAUAUCUGGAGGAACACCGGUGGCGAAGGCGGCAUCCUGGACCAACACUGACACUGAGGAGCGAAAGCCAGGGGAGCAAACGGG